UUUGGGGAAAUUCCGGUGAAAUAACAAAUCGGACUAGGAUAUAGCUGGUUUUCCUGCGAAAUCUAUUUUAGUAGAUGAUUUAUUUAUUUUAUUAGUAGGUAUAGCACUGAAUAUCUAAUAAAAUUAGAAAGGAGUAUGAAAGUACUUACUUUGGAUAUUUAAUCUCAGAAUAACUAAUAAGUUGUAAUAAGUUAUCAGACUUCUUGCGAUAAGGUGAGGAGUCGAGAGAAUUCCC
rnacentral:rRNA from 1 species